rnacentral:rRNA from 1 species
GAUGAACGCUGGCGGCGUGCUUAACACAUGCAAGUCGAACGGUGAAGCAGAGCUUGCUCUGUGGAUCAGUGGCGAACGGGUGAGUAACACGUGAGCAAUCUGCCCCUGACUCUGGGAUAACAGUUGGAAACAGCUGCUAAUACCGGAUACGAGCUGCGAAGGCAUCUUCGGCAGCUGGAAAGAAUUUCGGUCAGGGAUGAGCUCGCGGCCUAUCAGCUUGUUGGUGAGGUAAUGGCUCACCAAGGCGUCGACGGGUAGCCGGCCUGAGAGGGAGACCGGCCACACUGGGACUGAGACACGGCCCAGACUCCUACGGGAGGCAGCAGUGGGGAAUAUUGCACAAUGGGCGGAAGCCUGAUGCAGCAACGCCGCGUGAGGGAUGACGGCCUUCGGGUUGUAAACCUCUUUUAGCAGGGAAGAAGCGAAAGUGACGGUACCUGCAGAAAAAGCACCGGCUAACUACGUGCCAGCCGCCGCCGUAACAC